UACAGAGGUCCCAAGCGUUGUUCGGAUUCACUGGGCGUAAAGGGUGCGUAGGUGGUGAGGUAAGUCGGAUGUGAAAUCUCCGGGCUCAACCCGGAAAUGGCAUUGGAAACUACCUUGCUGGAGGAUUUGAGGGGGGAUUGGAAUACUUGGUGUAGCAGUGAAAUGCGUAGAUAUCAAGUGGAACACCAGUGGCGAAGGCGAAUCCCUGGAAAAUACCCGACACUGAGGCACGAAAGCUAGGGGAGCAAACAGG
rnacentral:rRNA from 1 species